AUGCGAGGAGAUGGACCCGUAGUCACGUUUCCCAUAUCCUGACUCCUCGGAUGUCUCGGCCGCCCUCCCGCGUUCUCUUACCCACCUUGGCCAGCCGCGUUAGUUCCCCAACCACAGCUUGAGUCCCGACCAGAGGAACAUCGUGUGGAGCACCAGGCGGGGCUUCACCAUCCGGACUCCCACCUUCUUCUACAUCGGCCUCUUCUUCUGCCAGACCCUCGUCGACGGCGUGGCGCACAAGUCGCGCAUCUACAUCGUCCACCGGCCAGUGAGUAACAUCUUGGACGUGUAUCUGAACAGCAGCGGUCCCGUGCAGGCCUUAAAGGGGGAGAGGCUGGUGCUCAACUGCACCGCCACCGGAGAACUGAACACCAGGGUCAACAUCUCAUGGGACUACCCUGGAAAGACAAGCAACAGCGGCUCCACGUCCAAGCGUCUGCUCAAGCACAGAACGCACAUGUUGUUCUACAACAUCCUGACCAUCCCCAAGCUGCGGCGCUCCGACCGCGGCCUGUACACGUGUCGCGUCAGCAGCGGCAACAAAACUAAACAGCAGAAAGUUACCGUCACCGUCUACGAUCGUCCCUUCAUUCGAUUGAAGCCCAGACGAGGGUCCGUCAUGGAGGUCCAAGCGGGUCAAAAGGCCUACCGAAUUUCACCCAAACUCCGAGCGUUCCCGGCGCCCGAAGUCAUCUGGUUGAAGGACGGCAUGUUGGCAGCCGAGCAGUGCUCCCGCUACCACCUCGACGGCCAUUCGCUGGUCAUCCGCGACGUGGCGGAGGAGGAUGCUGGGAAAUAUACCGUGCGCGUACGCAUCCAGGAGCACGGACUCUACCAGAACCUCACGCUGAUCCUCGUGGUCAACGUGAGCCCCCAGAUCGCCGAGAAAGCCGUGUCGUCGCAGAGCGCGGCCGCCGUGCCGCGGGGGAGCCGGCAGUCCGUGCACUGCACGUCCCACGGCGUCCCCGCGCCGCACGUCCACUGGCUGUGGCACCCGUGUCCGCCCAAAGGCCUGUGCGCUCCUCCGACAUCCUCUUCUGGCUGGACCCCCUUGAACGAGGGGCUCCCCGCCACGUCCACACACAACCACAUCCUGAGUAUGACCCGCAACCAGGAAGUACUUCAGGGGAAGACCAAGACGGUCGGCGUGGUCACAGUGGCCCGGGCUCUGGUGUCAGGUGUGUUCCGUUGCGUGGCAUCCAACUCCGUGGGACUGGACCACCUGGACAUCCAUUUCUUCGUCACCGACAUUCCAGGAGGCUUCGCCGUGAGUCAGCAUGAAGACCCCAGAGAAGGCGGAGAUCUGCACCUCACCUGCAGCGCCAACAAGCACCUGUACGGCAGCUUGUCGUGGCGCCGCCUCCACCCCGCCGGCGGUGGCGGGGGCACCGGCUGGGGCGGGCGCACUUUCCUGCACGGGCACUCGUCCAUAGGGGACUUCUCGCGCUCUCUGCGGUUGUCGCUGAGCAACCUGAGCACCCAGGACUCGGGCCCCUACAUGUGCGCCGCCCACCACCGCCUCACUGGGCAGGAGGCCCACCUGGUGGUGCAGGUGAGGGUCUCAGUCCUGGAGCCUGCCGUGCUGCUCAACAAUUUGACGGAUUGGACAGUGAACGUUAGCAGCUCGGUGACCCUCCGCUGUCCCACCAAGGGCGUCCCGCGUCCGACUGUCACCUGGUACAAGAACAAAUGCGUUCUGUCGGCCGGAUCUGGUAUCGCCGUAUCCCCGGAAGAGGACUCCCUCCAUAUCGACCGCAUCACCGUGGAGGACCAAGGCUUGUACACAUGCCGGGCCAGCAACCAAAAGGGGUCUGCGGAGAGCUCCGCCUACAUUUGGGUCAAUGGUGCAGCCGAAAGUCCGUCGAUGGAGAUUCCGACUCUGGCGUGCACGUGCGUGGUGGCCACUUUCCUUUGGCUUCUCCUGACGCUCCUGAUUCGAAAACUACGACAGCCUGACAACUCCCAGAACAAAGCCGAGUACCUGUCCAUCAUACUGGACGCGGGAGACGGCCCCGCGGAGCAGCGAUGCGAGCGACUCCAGUAUGAUCCCAACCGGUGGGAGUUCCCUCGAGAGGGUCUCAAAUUAGGCAAGAAUUUGGGUCGCGGAGCCUUUGGGAAAGUGGUGCAGGCGUCGGCGUUUGGGAUGGGCAACGCUUCAGGCUGCAGGACGGUUGCCGUUAAGAUGCUCAAAGAGGGCGCCACAGUCAGCGAGCACAAAGCCCUGAUGACCGAACUGAAAAUCCUCAACUAUAUCGGACACCAUCUCAAUGUUGUGAACCUACUGGGAGCUUGCACCAAGCCGGGAGGUUUGUGGAUGAUCGUGAUGACAUACUGGACAAGGGGUAGAUUGAGAUUUAGAUUUAGUUUUAGGUUGAGUGUUAGUAGGAGCGCCCGCACUGGGUUUGCCUCAGAUCAGGAUUAACAAUUUGGAUCCUGGUUGGAAUUCAAAUUGGAUGCGGUUUGGGUUGUGUUGAGACUCACUUUGGCAUUACGUUCAGGAUGAGACGGGUUUAGGAUCCAAAAAUGCUGUUCGUAUUGGGACUAAGUUUCAGAUUGGGUUUUCGCAUCCCGGUUGGAGUUCAGAUGCAAAUGUUUGCAUCGCAGGUCCUCUGAUGGUGAUUGUGGAGUACUGUCGCCAUGGAAACCUGUCCAGCUUCCUGAAGAGCAAACGAGGCGUGUUUGGGGUGUCCAGAAGAAAGUCCGGAGAGCCGAGUUGUGAUAUCCAGCC